CACGUAGGGGGCGAGCGUUGUCCGGAUUUAUUGGGCGUAAAGAGCUCGUAGGCGGUUUCGUAAGUCGGAUGUGAAAACUCCAGCUCAACUUGGAGACGCCAUUCGAUACUGCGAUGACUUGAGUCCGGUAGGGGAGUGUGGAAUUCCUGGUGUAGCGGUGAAAUGCGCAGAUAUCAGGAGGAACACCGGCGGCGAAGGCGGCACUCUGGGCCGGUACUGACGCUGAGUGAGCGAAAGCCAGGGGAGCAAACGGG
rnacentral:rRNA from 1 species